rnacentral:rRNA from 1 species
UAGGGAAUCUUCCGCAAUGGACGCAAGUCUGACGGAGCAACGCCGCGUGAGUGAAGAAGGAUUUCGGUUCGUAAAACUCUGUUGUUAGAGAAGAACAGCGCAUAGAGUAACUGUUAUGCGUGUGACGGUAUCUAACCAGAAAGCCACGGCUAACUACGUGCCAGCAGCCGCGGUAAUACGUAGGUGGCAAGCGUUGUCCGGAUUUAUUGGGCGUAAAGCGAGCGCAGGCGGUCAAUUAAGUCUGAAGUUAAAGGCAGUGGCUCAACCAUUGUAGGCUUUGGAAACUGUUUAACUUGAGUGCAGAAGGGGAGAGUGGAAUUCCAUGUGUAGCGGUGAAAUGCGUAGAUAUAUGGAGGAACACCGGUGGCGAAAGCGGCUCUCUGGUCUGUAACUGACGCAGAGGCUCGAAAGCGUGGGGAGCGAACAGG